rnacentral:rRNA from 1 species
CGGGUGAGUAACACGUGGAUAACCUACCUAUAAGACUGGGAUAACCUCGGGAAACCGGAGCUAAUACCGGAUAAUAUUUUGAACCGCAUGGUUCAAAAGUGAAAGACGGUCUUGCUGUCACUUAUAGAUGGAUCCGCGCUGCAUUAGCUAGUUGGUAAGGUAACGGCUUACCAAGGCAACGAUGCAUAGCCGACCUGAGAGGGUGAUCGGCCACACUGGAACUGAGACACGGUCCAGACUCCUACGGGAGGCAGCAGCC